AUACGUAGGGGGCGAGCGUUGUCCGGAAUGAUUGGGCGUAAAGGGCGCGUAGGCGGCCCGGUAAGUCUGGAGUGAAAGUCCUGCUUUUAAGGUGGGAAUUGCUUUGGAUACUGUCGGGCUUGAGUGCAGGAGAGGUAAGUGGAAUUCCCAGUGUAGCAGUGAAAUGCGUAGAGAUUGGGAGGAACACCAGUGGCGAAGGCGACUUACUGGACUGUAACUGACGCUGAGGCGCGAAAGUGUGGGGAGCAAACAGGAUUAGAUACCCUGGUAGUCCACACUGUAAACGAUGAAUGCUAGGUGUAGGGGGUAUCGACCCCUUCUGUGCCGCAGUUAACACAAUAAGCAUUCCGCCUGGGGAGUACGGCCGCAAGGUUGAAACUCAAAGGAAUUGACGGGG
rnacentral:rRNA from 1 species